rnacentral:rRNA from 1 species
UACGAAGGGGGCGAGCGUUGUUCGGAAUUACUGGGCGUAAAGCGUGCGUAGGCGGUCUGUCGCGUCGAUCGUGAAAACUUGGGGCUUAACCCUGAGCUUGCGGUCGAUACGGGCAGACUGGAGGUAUGCAGGGGAGAACGGAAUUCCUGGUGUAGCGGUGAAAUGCGUAGAUAUCUGGAGGAACACCGGUGGCGAAGGCGGCAUCCUGGACCGGUAUUGACGCUGAGGCGCGAAAGCCAGGGGAGCAAAGCGGG